GUGCUCACUUGAGUAGUACAUGUACUAAAAUGAGAUUGAUGUAGAGAACAUAACAUGAUUUCUGCACAAGGAUGACAUAUAAAUUUGUAAAGUCUUCCAAGUUUGA